rnacentral:rRNA from 1 species
GACGAACGCUGGCGGCGUGCUUAACACAUGCAAGUCGAACGGAAAGGCCCUGCGUUUGUGGGGUGCUCGAGUGGCGAACGGGUGAGUAACACGUGAGUAACCUGCCCUUGACUUUGGGAUAACUUCAGGAAACUGGGGCUAAUACCGGAUAGGAGCUCCUGCUGCAUGGUGGGGGGGGGAAAGUUUCGGCGGUUGGGGAUGGACUCGCGGCUUAUCAGCUUGUUGGUGGGGUAGGGGCUUACCAAGGCUUUGACGGGUAGCCGGCCUGGGAGGGUGACCGGCCACAUUGGGCCUGCGAGACGGACCAGACUCCUACGGGAGGCAGCAGUGGGGAAUCUUGCACAAUGGGCGGAAGCCUGAUGCGGAAACGCCGCGUGCGGGAUGACGGCCUUCGGGUUGUAAACCGCUUUCGCCUGUGACGAAGCGUGAGUGACGGUAAUGGGUAAAGAAGCACCGGCUAACUACGUG